CAGCAGCCGCGGUAAUACGAAGGGGGCUAGCGUUGCUCGGAAUUACUGGGCGUAAAGGGCGCGUAGGCGGACAGUUAAGUCGGGGGUGAAAGCCCGGGGCUCAACCUCGGAAUUGCCUUCGAAACUGGCUGUCUUGAGUACGGGAGAGGUGAGUGGAGCUCCGAGUGUAGAGGUGAAAUUCGUAGAUAUUCGGAAGAACACCAGUGGCGAAGGCGACUCACUGGCCCGUUACUGGCGCUGAGGCGCGAAAGCGUGGGGAGCAAACAGGAUUAGAUACCCCAGUAGUCCCUGUCUCUUAUAC
rnacentral:rRNA from 1 species